AAAAUAAUAACAAAUUAGAAAAGUAAUAAAAUGUCUGUUGGCAGAGAACUUGUGGUUGGUGGAAACAAGUAGCAGGGUUUUAUGAAAUUGGGCUAAUGGAUAGAACUUGAAUUUGAAACGAUAAAAAUUCGGUAAGCACACCUUAUAGUGCAACUUGUUGUUAGACAAGAUAGAGAUGUGGGGAAAGUGUAUGAUUUUUCCCAUAAUUGAGGUGGCACCGCGAUUUACGCCCUCACA
rnacentral:ncRNA from 1 species